rnacentral:rRNA from 1 species
AUUGAACGCAGGCGGCAGGCUUAACACAUGCAAGUCGAGCGGGGUGAUGGUGCUUGCACUAUCACUUAGCGGCGGACGGGUGAGUAAUGCUUAGGAAUCUGCCUAUUAGUGGGGGACAACAUCUCGAAAGGGAUGCUAAUACCGCAUACGUCCUACGGGAGAAAGCAGGGGAUCACUUGUGACCUUGCGCUAAUAGAUGAGCCUAAGUCGGAUUAGCUAGUUGGUGGGGUAAAGGCCUACCAAGGCGACGAUCUGUAGCGGGUCUGAGAGGAUGGUCCGCCACACUGGGACUGAGACACGGCCCAGACUCCUACGGGAGGCAGCAGUGGGGAAUAUUGGACAAUGGGGGGAACCCUGAUCCAGCCAUGCCGCGUGUGUGAAGAAGGCCUUAUGGUUGUAAAGCACUUUAAGCGAGGAGGAGGCUCUUUUGGUUAAUACCCAAGAUGAGUGGACGUUACUCGCAGAAUAAGCACCGGCUAACUCUGUGCCAGCAGCCGCCGUAA